CUUGUUGAGUUUAAGCAUAUAAAAAAGCAGAGGAAAUACUAUUACAAUGAUUCUCUUAGUAAUGUUGAGCAAACAAAAAAUAUCCUAACCUGAGAUUGUAGUCAGGAAAAGCUUCAUCAGCUGCGGACCGAGCUUAGGUUCCCUGGGAAGACAGCGGUGAGAGCCCCAUUGUGCCCAGACUCUAUCGCAACACGAGGCGCUGCCAGUGAGUAGGGUUGUUUGAGAAUGUAACCCCAAUCAUGUGGUUAACUCCAUCCAAGGCUUAAAAAUACGGGCCAUAGACCGAUAGAGAACAAGUAUAGCUAGGGAAUGUGAAAAUGACUUUAAUAAAGAGAGUUAAAUACAGUAGAACCUCGAUAAAUUAAUAACUUCGUUUAAAUAAUAUAUUUUUUUGGUCCCGACUCGAAGAAUACAUGCUAAAAAAAAUUCGAUAAAUUAAUAUUUCGCUAAAUUAAUACAAUUUGACUAGUUUCAAUUGUAUUAAUUUACGGAAGUUAAACUUAAAAUUGUCAGGAAGGAAGCAGAUGAAAACCGGUGAUGCGCCUUAGUUGGAUGUAGAACGGUGAAUGUCCG
rnacentral:ncRNA from 1 species